UACAGAGGGUGCGAGCGUUAAUCGGAAUUACUGGGCGUAAAGCGCACGUAGGCGGCUUGGUAUGUCGGGUGUGAAAUCCCCGGGCUCAACCUGGGAACUGCAUCCGAUACUGCCAUGCUAGAGGAUUGGAGAGGUAGCUGGAAUUCUUGGUGUAGCAGUGAAAUGCGUAGAGAUCAAGAGGAACACUCGUGGCGAAAGCGAGCUACUGGACAAUUCCUGACGCUGAGGCUCGAAGGCUAGGGUAGCGAAAGGG
rnacentral:rRNA from 1 species